GGCCGUGUGCCCGAGUGGUUGAGGGGAUCGCCUGCAAAGCGAUUUACAUCGGUUCGAAUCCGGUCGCGGCCUC
rnacentral:tRNA from 1 species